CGGCCACCGUGCGCGGUGGUUCCGGCGGUAGCUCCGGUGGGCUAUGGAGAUGAUUCAACUUCCAGAGGCUUCCUCAUAAAUUUUUGGAAUUUUUGAGACACAGAUAAACUUCGGGUGAUCGAGAUCAGCUAUUUUUCUGCAUUCAGCAGCCACAAUAGUCAUCGGUGUACUGUGAGUAAAAUAUUAAUUUUAAUUGUAAUUUCGAUAUUAUUAUAUAUUCAAGCAUGCCCAUGCAUCACUUAUAUGUAUAUAUUUAUGUAGUUAAACUCUAGGCACGUUUUAUGUUGCAUUCACAAC